rnacentral:rRNA from 1 species
CCUACGGGAGGCAGCAGAGCUUCCCCUCUGGUCUUCCUCUACAGAGGAUGCAAGCGUUAUCCGGAAUGAUUGGGCCAGCAGCCGCGGUAUGUCGAGUGCGCGAUCAUGACAGGACUCAAGGAAGAAGCCCCGGCUAACUCCGUGCCAGCAGCCGCGGUAAUAGCUCCUCCUCUGGUCUUCCUCCAGCAGCCGCGGUAAU